AGAGUUUGAUCCUGGCUCAGAACGUACGCUGGCGGCACGCCUAACACAUGCAAGUCGAACGAAGUAGCAAUACUUAGUGGCGAACGGGUGAGUAUAAUGUGGGUAUCUGCCCUUUGGUAUGGAAUAACACGAGGAAACUUGUGCUAAUACUAUAUAAGCCUUUACAGGGAAAGCUUUAGCGCCAAAGGAUGAGCCCGCACUUGAUUAGCUAGUUGGUAAGGUAAAGGCUUACCAAGGCUACGAUCAAUAGCUGAUCUGAGAGGAUGAUCAGCCACAUUGGGACUGAGACACGGCCCAAACUUCUACGGAAGGCAGCAGUGGGGAGUCUUGCACAAUGGGGGAAACCCUGAUGCAGCGAUGCCGCGUGAGUGAAGAAGGCCUUUGGGUUGUAAAGCUCUUUCGUCGGGGAAGAAAAUGACUGUACCCGAAUAAGAAGGUCCGGCUAACUUCGUGCCAGCAGCCGCGGUAAUACGAAGGGACCUAGCGUAGUUCGGAAUUACUGGGCUUAAAGAGUUCGUAGGUGGUUAAAAAAGUUGAUGGUGAAAUCCCAGAGCUUAACUCUGGAACUGCCAUCAAAACUUUUUAGCUAGAGUAUGAUAGAGGAAAGCAGAAUUUCUAGUGUAGAGGUGAAAUUCGUAGAUAUUAGAAAGAAUACCAAUUGCGAAGGCAGCUUUCUGGAUCAUUACUGACACUGAGGAACGAAAGCAUGGGUAGCGAAGAGGAUUAGAUACCCUCGUAGUCCAUGCCGUAAACGAUGUGUGUUAGACGUUGGAAAUUUAUUUUCAGUGUCGCAGCGAAAGCAAUAAACACACCGCCUGGGGAGUACGACCGCAAGGUUAAAACUCAAAUGAAUUGACGGGGACCCGCACAAGUAGUGGAGCAUGUGGUUUAAUUCGAAGAUACGCGCAGAACCUUACCAACACUUGACAUGUUCGUCGCGACUCUAAGAGAUUAGAGUUUUCGGUUCGGCCGGACGAAACACAGGUGCUGCAUGGCUGUCGUCAGCUCGUGUCGUGAGAUGUUGGGUUAAGUCCCGCAACGAGCGCAACCCUUACUUUUAGUUGCCAUCAUUUAGUUGGGCACUCUGAAAGAACUGCCAGUGAUAAGCUGGAGGAAGGUGGGGAUGACGUCAAGUCCUCAUGGCCCUUACGUGUUGGGCUACACACGUGCUACAAUGGUAUCUACAACAGGAAGCAAAACAGCGAUGUUAAGCAAAUCCCGAAAAGAUACCUCAGUUCGGAUUGCACUCUGCAACUCGAGUGCAUGAAGCUGGAAUUACUAGUAAUCGUGGAUCAGCGUGCCACGGUGAAUACGUUCCCGGGUCUUGUACACACCGCCCGUCACACCAUGGGAGUUGGUUCUACCUUAAGGCAAAGCUUAAAACCUUUGACCACGGUAUAGUCAGCGACUGGGGUGAAGUCGUAACAAGGUAACC
rnacentral:rRNA from 1 species